rnacentral:rRNA from 1 species
GUUGUAUAGUCAAGUAAUUAAGUGCAUGUGGUGGAUGCCUUGGCAGUCAGAGGCGAUGAAAGACGUGAUAGCCUGCGAAAAGCUCCGGGGAGGCGGCAAAUAUCCUUUGAUCCGGAGAUGUCUGAAUGGGGGAACCCACCUACUUUAAGGUAGGUAUUGCAACAUGAAUACAUAGUGUUGCAAGGCGAACGAGGGGAAGUGAAACAUCUCAGUACCCUUAGGAAAAGAAAUCAAUUGAGAUUCCCUCAGUAGCGGCGAGCGAACGGGGAUCAGCCCAUUAAGUUAUGUGUGUUUUAGUGGAACGCUCUGGGAAGUGCGAACGUAGAGGGUGAUAUUCCCGUACACGAAAGGGCACACAUAAUGAUGACGAGUAGGGCGAGGCACGUGAAACCUUGUCUGAAUAUGGGGGGACCAUCCUCCAAGGCUAAAUACUCCUGACUGACCGAUAGUGAACCAGUACCG